UACCANUGGCGAAGGCGGCUUUCUAGACAAACACUGACACUGAGGCACNANAGUGUGGGGAGCAAACAGGAUUAGAUACCCUGGUAGUCCCGCACCGUAAAACGAUGGAUUACUANGUAUCGGNUAGAAAAACUNUCGGUACCCAAGUUAACGCAUUAAAGUNUCCCUCCNUGGGGAGUACGACCNCCAAGGU
rnacentral:rRNA from 1 species